rnacentral:rRNA from 1 species
GUGGGGAAUAUUGGACAAUGGGGGGAACCCUGAUCCAGCCAUGCCGCGUGUGUGAAGAAGGCCUUUUGGUUGUAAAGCACUUUAAGCGAGGAGGAGGCUACCGAGAUUAAUACUCUUGGAUAGUGGACGUUACUCGCAGAAUAAGCACCGGCUAACUCUGUGCCAGCAGCCGCGGUAAUACAGAGGGUGCAAGCGUUAAUCGGAUUUACUGGGCGUAAAGCGCGCGUAGGUGGCCAAUGAAGUCAAAUGUGAAAUCCCCGAGCUUAACUUGGGAAUUGCAUUCGAUACUGGUUGGCUAGAGUAUGGGAGAGGAUGGUAUAAUUCCAGGUGUAGCGGUGAAAUGCGUAGAGAUCUGGAGGAAUACCGAUGGCGAAGGCAGCCAUCUGGCCUAAUACUGACACUGAGGUGCGAAAGCAUGGGGAGCAAACAGGAUUAGAAACCCGUGUAGUCC